rnacentral:rRNA from 1 species
CAGAACGAACGCUGGCGGCGUGCUUAACACAUGCAAGUCGAACGCGAAAGGGACUUCGGUCCUGAGUAAAGUGGCGCACGGGUGAGUAACGCGUAGAUAACCUGUCUUCAUGUCUGGAAUAAUACGCCGAAAGGGGUACUAAUACCGGAUAUUCUUGCUUUUCAUAAGUUAUGCAAGCAAAGGUGGCCUCUGCAUAUGCUACUGCAUGAAGAGGGGUCUGCGUACCAUUAGCUAGUAGGUGGGGUAAUGGCCUACCUAGGCGACGAUGGUUAGCGGGUCUGAGAGGAUGAUCCGCCACACUGGCACUGGAACACGGGCCAGACUCCUACGGGAGGCAGCAGUGAGGAAUAUUGCGCAAUGGGGGAAACCCUGACGCAGCGACGCCGCGUGAGUGAGGAAGGCCUUCGGGUCGUAAAGCUCUGUCAAGAGGAAAGAAGUGUACAAUGGCUAAUACCUGUUGUAUUUGACGGUACCUCUAAAGGAAGCACCGGCUAACUCCGUGCCAGCCGCCGC